CUCCCACCCAGAAAUGACUUCACCUCCCUAAGUUCCUUGGUAGGGAACUUGAGGGGUGGUUAGAAACUUCCACUCAACUCACUGCAUAAUAACUCAGGACAGGAGAGGAUAAGAACAGCUCUUUGUGUCACCGGCACCACUAGGAGAAACAGCCUAAAAGGCAGGGAGAGCAGCUUGGAGAAUUCCAGCAGCUUCAAACUACACCACCAGGAUCUCUGUG
rnacentral:lncRNA from 1 species